GACGAACGCUGGCGGCGUGCUUAACACAUGCAAGUCGAACGGAAGGUCCCUGAUUUUGUGGGGUGCCCGGGUGGCGAACGGGUGAGUAACACGUGUGUAACCUGCCCUUGCUUUUUGUCUAACUUCACGAAACUGGGGCUACUACCAGACAGCAGAUUCUGCAGCGUGGUAUGCGUUGGAACGUAUCGGCGGUUGGGGGUGGACUCGCGGCUUAUCAGCUUGUUGGUGGGGUAGUGGCUUACCAAGGCUUUGGCGGGUAGCUCGCCUGGGUGGGUGACCGGCCACAUUGCGACUGAGGUACGGCGCAGACGCGUACGGGAGACAACAGUGGGAAAUAUUGCACAAAGGGAGCACGCCUGAGAAAGCAACGACGCGUGCGGGAUGACGGCAUUCGGGUUGUAAACCGCUUUCGCCUGAGACGAAGCGUGAGUGACGGUAAUGGGUAAAGAAGCACCGGCUAACUACGUG
rnacentral:rRNA from 1 species